rnacentral:rRNA from 1 species
AGUGAACGCUGGCGGUAGGCCUAACACAUGCAAGUCGAACGGCAGCACAGUAAGAGCUUGCUCUUACGGGUGGCGAGUGGCGGACGGGUGAGGAAUACAUCGGAAUCUACUUUUUCGUGGGGGAUAACGUGGGGAAACUUACGCUAAUACCGCAUACGACCUACGGGUGAAAGCAGGGGAUCUUCGGACCUUGCGCGAUUGAAUGAGCCGAUGUCGGAUUAGCUAGUUGGCGGGGUAAAGGCCCACCAAGGCGACGAUCCGUAGCUGGUGGGAGAGAAUGAUCGGCCACACUGGAACUGAGACACGGUCCAGAGUCCUACGGGAGGGAGCAGUGGGGAAUAUUGGACAAUGGGCGCAAGCCUGAUCCAGCCAUACCGCGUGGGUGAAGAAGGCCUUCGGGUUGUAAAGCCCUUUUGUGGGGAAAGAAAAGCAGCAGGUUAAUACCCCGCUGUUCUGACGGUACCCAAAGAAUAAGCACCGGCUAACUUCGUG